rnacentral:lncRNA from 1 species
ACUACAAGUGUCGAGGGGCCUAGGGGAAGCCGGGGCUUGGGAGGGCAGGGCUUUCUCUGCUUGCGGACAUCGCGAAGGGCCUCUGGCAGGCGCCGCCGGGUGGCGGCGAGACGCCUCCGCGCCUCCGGGGUUCCUUGUUCGCUGUCGGAGGAGGACCGGCUGAGGGAUGGCCUGGUGGGGAGGGAGCCCUCGGGCAGGUGGCUGCGUCGGGCCUGGGGCAGUUGUGCUGCGCUUGGAGACCUGCCCGCCCUCGGGGCCUGUGUGCACAGGGAGGAUAGGCUGUUUAUCUCUGCAGGCUCAGGAAGGCAGGUAGCUGGCCCGUCAGUCAUCCGCCCUGCAAAGCGCUCCCGAGAGACCCCGUAGAGCGGGCCAGCGCGCGCCUGGCCUGAGGUUUCCCGCCCCCGGAGGCCCUCACAUCUCCCCGGUAACGCUUAGGAAUUCGGGCAGCCAGCUCGCCUACCCCUGGGGAAUCGAGGCAGAGCUUCUGGGAAUGGGGUCUGAGGGAAGAGUGCUCACCAGGCAGUGACAUGUAGCCGUUGAGGAUCGCCACUGCCUUCUCGUUCUGUGGUAUGAAUGGCAGUGUCUCUCUAGAGAGUUAGUGCUUAAGUUUGAAUGAUGGCAGGCACUUCAGGAUUCCAGCACGUAGUAGGGUUUAAGAACGUCUUAGUUCUUACCUCCAGUCUCGACUCACCGUUCCUACAAGGAACACUCACUUCUACGAAAGCUCUAUUAGACAUUCGAGGGAGAGCUUAUACUGUAGAACCAGUGUUAUUAGGAAAGUUUUUUUUUUUUUGCUUGUAUUUUUAUUUCAGAAACUACCCAUGGAGCAGAGUUGCUAAAAUAAAAUUUAUUAACUCUAAUGCUAUCCAAAUUGUGAAACAAUGGUACAAAUGAGAUAGAGUAGAAGCUACAAAUUGAUAGAGUAUGUAGUUCACUUAGGGGUUUGGGAGUGGAUUUUCUAGAGCUGCAACUGUCCAGUGUAGUAGUCACUGGCCACCUGAAAAGUGGCUAGUCUGAACUGAGGUCUGCUCUAAGUGUAGAACAUGCACCAGAUUUCUAAAGCGUGGUCUGAAAAGAAAAAGAAUGUAAAGUAUUUCAUUAAUUUUAUAUUGCUUACAUGUCAAAAUGAGAAUGUUUUGGAAAAUUUUAAAUUACGUGGCUUCCAUUAUAUUUCUAUGGAUACUGCUGUUCUAGAGAGUAAAAAAAUCUCACUGAAGAAGAGUAGGCCUUUCGUUUAGCAACUGUGAAGAAAACCAACCACGCUGCACCUCUCAGUUCUGUAGUCAGAAGUCCAACAUGGUUCUCAAUGGCCUAAAAUCAAGGUGUCCACAGGAUUGUGUUCCUUUCUAGAGAGCAAGCUGCAGUGUGGUAAACUGCCUUUGAAAGAGACCCACAUGUCAAGAAACUGAGCAUCACCUGUGACCAACAGCCAGAAAGUAACUGAAGCCCCAAGACGAACAGCUUGUGCAAAACUAAAUUCUGCCUACAACAAGAGCAUGAAUUGAGACGCAGAUCCUUCCCUAGUUGAUCCUUGAAAUGCUUGCAGCUCUAUGGACACCUUGAUUGCAGCCUUGUGAGAAAUUCUGAACUAGAGGACCUCGUAUGCCUUACCCAUAGGUCUUACAAGAUAAUACGUGUUUUUCAAAAAAGUAAGUUUGGGGAUAAUUUCUUAUGCAGCAAUAGAUAAUGAAUAAUAAAGUAAAUACAGUUUUUUGCUGUUGACUUCAAAAAUGUUUAAAGAUUUUACUGUUAUAUAAUUGUACAUAUUUAUGGGGUACAUGUGAUAUUUUGAUACAUGCAUACAAUGUGUAAUGAUCAAACUGGGGUAAUUUGAAUAUCCAUCACCUCAAAUGUUAUUUAGUGGUAUUGGGAACAUUCCAAAUCUUGUAGGUAUUUUGAAAUAUACAAAAAGUUAAUUUUAUAUAUAAAUAUAUGUCAUAUAUUAUUAAUAUAUUAAUAAUAUAUGCCAUAUAUAUAUAUGUAUGUAUAAAUGCCAUAUAUAUUAAUUACAUGUAUGGCAUGUUUUCUUUUAUACAUUUAUCCACUGAUAAACACUUAGGUUCCUUCCUUACCUUGGCUAUUGUGAAUAGUGCUGCAAUAAACAUGGGAGUGUAGAUAA